GCGGCGUGCCUAAUACAUGCAAGUCGAACGCACAGCGAAAGGUGCUUGCACCUUUCAAGUGAGUGGCGAACGGGUGAGUAACACGUGGACAACCUGCCUCAAGGCUGGGGAUAACAUUUGGAAACAGAUGCUAAUACCGAAUAAAACUUAGUGUCGCAUGACACAAAGUUAAAAGGCGCUUCGGCGUCACCUAGAGAUGGAUCCGCGGUGCAUUAGUUAGUUGGUGGGGUAAAGGCCUACCAAGACAAUGAUGCAUAGCCGAGUUGAGAGACUGAUCGGCCACAUUGGGACUGAGACACGGCCCAAACUCCUACGGGAGGCUGCAGUAGGGAAUCUUCCACAAUGGGCGAAAGCCUGAUGGAGCAACGCCGCGUGUGUGAUGAAGGCUUUCGGGUCGUAAAGCACUGUUGUAUGGGAAGAACAGCUAGAAUAGGAAAUGAUUUUAGUUUGACGGUACCAUACCAGAAAGGGACGGCUAAAUACGUGCCAGCAGCCGCGGUAAUACGUAUGUCCCGAGCGUUAUCCGGAUUUAUUGGGCGUAAAGCGAGCGCAGACGGUUUAUUAAGUCUGAUGUGAAAGCCCGGAGCUCAACUCCGGAAUGGCAUUGGAAACUGGUUAACUUGAGUGCAGUAGAGGUAAGUGGAACUCCAUGUGUAGCGGUGGAAUGCGUAGAUAUAUGGAAGAACACCAGUGGCGAAGGCGGCUUACUGGACUGCAACUGACGUUGAGGCUCGAAAGUGUGGGUAGCAAACAGGAUUAGAUACCCUGGUAGUCCACACCGUAAACGAUGAACACUAGGUGUUAGGAGGUUUCCGCCUCUUAGUGCCGAAGCUAACGCAUUAAGUGUUCCGCCUGGGGAGUACGAC
rnacentral:rRNA from 1 species